GGCUCAGGAUGAGCGCUAGCUACAGGCUUAACACAUGCAAGUCGAGGGGAAACGACAUCGAAAGCUUGCUUUUGAUGGGCGUCGACCGGCGCACGGGUGAGUAACGCGUAUCCAACCUGCCCAUCACUUGGGGGAUAACCUUGCGAAAGUAAGACUAAUACCCAAUGAUAUCCCACGAAGGCAUCCGAAUGGGAUUAAAGAUUUAUCGGUGAUGGAUGGGGAUGCGUCUGAUUAGCUUGUUGGCGGGGUAACGGCCCACCAAGGCUAUGAUCAGUAGGGGGUUCUGAGAGGAAGGUCCCCCACAUUGGAACUGAGACACGGUCCAAACUCCUACGGGAGGCAGCAGUGAGGAAUAUUGGUCAAUGGGCGAGAGCCUGAACCAGCCAAGUAGCGUGCAGGAUGACGGCCCUAUGGGUUGUAAACUGCUUUUAUAAGGGAAUAAAGUGAGCCUCGUGAGGCUUUUGCAUGUACCUUAUGAAUAAGGACCGGCUAAUUCCGUG
rnacentral:rRNA from 1 species